rnacentral:rRNA from 1 species
UACGUAGGGUGCGAGCGUUGUCCGGAAUUAUUGGGCGUAAAGGGCGCGUAGGCGGCCAUGCGUGUCUUCCGUGAAAUCCCUCGGCUUAACUGAGGACGUGCGGAAGAAACUGCAAGGCUCGAGUCCGGGAGAGGGGGGGUGGAAUUCCCAGUGUAGCGGUGAAAUGCGUAGAUAUUGGGAGGAACACCGGUGGCGAAGGCGGCCCCCCUGGACCGGUACUGACGCUGAGGCGCGAAAGCGUGGGUAGCAAACGGG